UUGGAGGGCAAGUCUGGUGCCAGCAGCCGCGGUAAUUCCAGCUCCAAUAGCGUAUAUUAAAGUUGUUGCAGUUAAAGAGCUCGUAGUUGAAUUUCGGGAUCAAUAUGUUGGUCGUGCCUUGGUACGUACUAUCUUAUUGGUUUCUCCCUUCUGACGAACCAUGAUGUCAUUAAUUUGGUGUCAUGGGGAAUCAAGAUUGUUACUUUGAAAAAAUUAGAGUGUUUAAAGCAGGCUCACGCUUGAAUAUAUUAGCAUGGAAUAAUGAAAUAGGACGUUUGAUUCUAUUUUGUUGGUUUCUAGGAUCGAUGUAAUGAUUAAUAGGGAUAGUUGGGGGCAUUAGUAUUCAAUUGUCAGAGGUGAAAUUCUUGGAUUUAUUGAAGACUAACUACUGCGAAAGCAUUUGCCAAGGAUGUUUUCAUUAAUCAAGAACGAAAGUUAGGGGAUCGAAGACGAUCAGAUACCGUCGUAGUCUUAACCAUAAACUAUGCCGACUAGGGAUCGGAUGAUGUUAAUUUUUUAAUGACUCAUUCGGCGCCUUACGGGAAACCAAAGUGUUUGGGUUC
rnacentral:rRNA from 1 species